UAAUAUAGUUGCUAAUCUUGACAAUACUGUCUUUGUUUCAAAGGUGAAAGGUCAGUGAUUAAACGUAACAUCUUGAAAUGUCCGACAGCACCAUUGGCAGCAUCAUUGUCAUCCUCCUGUCGGAACAUACUGCUUGGUCUAUUUGCAGCAGGGUUACAGGGCCUGGACAAAGAAAGAGGAGACCAGCACUGAGGCAGAGAAAGUCCAAUGUGGGUGAAGUGCCUUGGGGAGACAGGCAUCCCAACCCUGCCAGUCUGUGGUGUGAUCUGGCCAAUUGGCAAUGGCAACAGCCUGCAGCCCAACCUGCACACACUAUGUCUACCCUCACCCCAGUCCCAACCUCAAACACUGAACCCCUACCCACUAUGAGGGGACAUGGAGGGGUGGAAUGUGAGCUGGUCACGGUGUCCUUGCCUUGAAUCAAAACCCUGUCUCUUGUUACACAGCUGUCUCCUGCAUUUUCACCUUCAACAGGGGGCUGACCAAAUGAGUCUCAUUCCCAGCUCCUGCCACCAACCCCCUUGCCGGCCUCCCCAUGCCCAUUCCCCAACAUCCCAAGACAAUCGUCACUCAUCAGCACUCUUAAAGGUUGAUGCAGAAGUUGAUUCCCUCUGAGGCACAUGUUGCUAGGCAACCCCCCUGCACUUGCCAGGACAACCCCCCUGCACUUGCCAGGACAACCUUGCUCCCCCUGUGGCUAAACCCAUUUUCCCGGUUUGGACCUUUCUGCCCACCCUGACCAUGAGCCUGCCUGCCGUAGUGUACCUGUCCCCCACGACUGGAUUAGCGACCCCUGCCUGCCUUGACCUGUCGUUUGCCUGCUCCUUUUGCUGUAAUAAACAUUGUUAAUU